rnacentral:lncRNA from 1 species
GAAAAUGUAUGCAUAGAUUUGGAGGCCUAGUUAAUAAACAUUAUCAGGCUGAGAUCAGAACACCUUUGGAAGACCUACAUGAGCUAUACAGGAUCAGAUGAAGGGCUCUAUGUCAUUGCUAAAGACCCAACCUGGGCCGCCCCAUCACUGAGGAAAAAUAAUCUGCAUCUGAGGAACACGAAACUGCUGGAAACCCCUUGGCAUGUAGAAGGUGUCUGGUCUGGAAGCUCAGGCAGAAGCGUGGUGUCAGGCAAUUCACAAACAGGUUGGGGAAAGCUUUGUCAGUAUGCUCUUUUCUCUCCACAACAUAGUCCCGGGCAAGUUAUAAUCUUUCAGUGAAUAACAUGAGACUGAAUAAAUAGAUACAUACUUACGUGCUUAUAAAUACA